rnacentral:rRNA from 1 species
AGUGAACGCUGGCGGCGUGCUUAACACAUGCAAGUCGAACGAGAACGGGCUAUAGCUUGCUAUGGUUGUCAGCUAAGUGGCGCACGGGUGAGUAAUGUAUAGGUAAUAUGCCUCUUACUAAGGGAUAACAAAUGGAAACGUUUGCUAAUACCUUAUACUCUUUAUUAACAGAAGUUAAUAAGGGAAAGAUUUAUUGGUAAGAGAUUAGCCUGUAUUGUAUCAGUUAGUUGGUGGGGUAAUGGCUUACCAAGACUAUGACACAUAACUGGUUUGAGGGGAUGAUCAGUCACACUGGAACUUAGACACGGUCGAGACUCCUACGGGAGGCAGCAGUGGGGAAUAUUGCACAAUGGACGAAAGUCUGAUGCAGCAACGCCGCGUGGAGGAUGACACAUUUCGGUGCGUAAACUCCUUUUAUAUGAGAAGAUAAUGACGGUAUUAUAUGAAUAAGCACCGGCUAACUCCGUGCCAGCCGCCGCGGUAA